UACAGAGGUCUCAAGCGUUGUUCGGAUUCAUUGGGCGUAAAGGGUGCGUAGGCGGCGCGGUAAGUCGGGUGUGAAAUUCGAGGCUUAACUUCGAAACUGCAUCGAUACUGCCGUGCUUGAGGACUGGAGAGGAGACUGGAUUACGGUGUAGCGGUGAAAUGCGUAGAUAUCGUAGGAAGACCAGUGGCGAGGCGGGAUCUCUGGACAGUCCUGACGCGAGGCACGAAGGCCAGGGAGCAAACGGGAUAGAAAACCC
rnacentral:rRNA from 1 species